rnacentral:rRNA from 1 species
UACGAAGGGGGCUAGCGUUGCUCAGAAUUACUGGGCGUAAAGGGAGCGUAGGCGGGUCAUCAAGUUGGAGGUGAAAGCCCAGGGCUCAACCUUGGAAUUGCCUUCAAAACUGAUAGCCUAGAGUAUGAUAGAGGUAAGUGGAACUCCGAGUGUAGAGGUGAAAUUCGUAGAUAUUCGGAAGAACACCAGUGGCGAAGGCGACUUACUGGAUCAUGACUGACGCUGAGGCUCGAAAGCGUGGGGAGCAAACAGG